rnacentral:antisense_RNA from 1 species
CUUGAGCGAGCCCAGCCACAGCGGGCCGGCGGCGUCGCGGCCCUGUCCGUAGGUGGCGAGCAGCGCCUCCGCCUC